AUGAACGCUAGCGACAGGCUUAACACAUGCAAGUCGAGGGGCAGCGGGGGUAGCGAUACCCGCCGGCGACCGGCGCACGGGUGAGUAACGCGUAUGCAACUUGCCUAUCAGAGGGGGAUAACCCGGCGAAAGUCGGACUAAUACCGCAUGAAGCAGGGGCCCCGCAUGGGGAUAUUUGCUAAAGAUUCAUCGCUGAUAGAUAGGCAUGCGUUCCAUUAGGCAGUUGGCGGGGUAACGGCCCACCAAACCGACGAUGGAUAGGGGUUCUGAGAGGAAGGUCCCCCACAUUGGUACUGAGACACGGACCAAACUCCUACGGGAGGCAGCAGUGAGGAAUAUUGGUCAAUGGGCGUAAGCCUGAACCAGCCAAGUCGCGUGAGGGAUGAAGGUUCUAUGGAUCGUAAACCUCUUUUAUAAGGGAAUAAAGUGCGGGACGUGUCCCGUUUUGUAUGUACCUUAUGAAUAAGGAUCGGCUAACUCCGUGCCAGCAGCCGCGGUAAUACGGAGGAUCCGAGCGUUAUCCGGAUUUAUUGGGUUUAAAGGGUGCGUAGGCGGCCUUUUAAGUCAGCGGUGAAAGUCUGUGGCUCAACCAUAGAAUUGCCGUUGAAACUGGGGGGCUUGAGUAUGUUUGAGGCAGGCGGAAUGCGUGGUGUAGCGGUGAAAUGCAUAGAUAUCACGCAGAACCCCGAUUGCGAAGGCAGCCUGCCAAGCCAUUACUGACGCUGAUGCACGAAAGCGUGGGGAUCAAACAGGAUUAGAUACCCUGGUAGUCCACGCAGUAAACGAUGAUCACUAGCUGUUUGCGAUACACUGUAAGCGGCACAGCGAAAGCGUUAAGUGAUCCACCUGGGGAGUACGCCGGCAACGGUGAAACUCAAAGGAAUUGACGGGGGCCCGCACAAGCGGAGGAACAUGUGGUUUAAUUCGAUGAUACGCGAGGAACCUUACCCGGGUUUGAACGCAUUCGGACCGAGGUGGAAACACCUUUUCUAGCAAUAGCCGUUUGCGAGGUGCUGCAUGGUUGUCGUCAGCUCGUGCCGUGAGGUGUCGGCUUAAGUGCCAUAACGAGCGCAACCCUUGCCACUAGUUACUAACAGGUAAAGCUGAGGACUCUGGUGGGACUGCCAGCGUAAGCUGCGAGGAAGGCGGGGAUGACGUCAAAUCAGCACGGCCCUUACAUCCGGGGCGACACACGUGUUACAAUGGCGUGGACAAAGGGAAGCCACCUGGCGACAGGGAGCGAAUCCCCAAACCACGUCUCAGUUCGGAUCGGAGUCUGCAACCCGACUCCGUGAAGCUGGAUUCGCUAGUAAUCGCGCAUCAGCCAUGGCGCGGUGAAUACGUUCCCGGGCCUUGUACACACCGCCCGUCAAGCCAUGGGAGCCGGGGGUACCUGAAGUCCGUAACCGCGAGGAUCGGCCUAGGGUAAAACUGGUGACUGGGGCU
rnacentral:rRNA from 1 species